GUGAAUCAUCGAAUUUUUGAACGCAAAUUGCACUUUCUGGUAUUCCGGAGAGUAUGCCUGUUUGAGGGUCAGUUAAAUAAAAAUCGGUGUUGUUGCUGCCUUUCGUGGUGACGCGGCGGUAUUGGGUCGUCUUACCUUCGUUUAUGAGACUUAAAAUUUUUUCAUGGUAUUCGAACUUAUGUAA
rnacentral:misc_RNA from 1 species